rnacentral:rRNA from 1 species
GACGAACGCUGGCGGCGUGCUUAACACAUGCAAGUCGAACGGAAAGGCCCUGCUUUUGUGGGGUUCUCGAGUGGCGAACGGGUGAGUAACACUUGAGUAACCUGCCCUUGACUUUGGGAUAACUUCAGGAAACUGGGGCUAAUACCGGAUAGGAGCUCCUGCUGCAUGGUGGGGGUUGGAAAGUUUCGGCGGUUGGGGAUGGACUCGCGGCUUAUCAGCUUGUUUGUGGGGUAGUGGCUUACCAAGGCUUUGACGGGUAGCCGGCCUGAGAGGGUGACCGGCGACAUUGGGACUGAGAUACGGCCCAGAAUCCAACGGGAGGCAGCAGUGGGGAAUAUUGCACAAUGGGCGGAAGCCUGAUGCAGAAACGCAGCGUGCGGGAUGACGGCCUUCGGGUUGUAAACCGAUUUAGCAUGUGACGAAGCGUGAGUGACGGUAAUGGGUAAAGAAGCACCGGCUAACUACGUG